GGCCACCGCGGCAGCGACCGUCCGUACAACCGCGACCGCCGCGACGACCGCCCGGCCGGCGGCCACCGCACCGGCGGUGACCGUCCCUACGGCCGCCGCGACGACCACCGGGGCGGCCCGUCCUCCUCGUCCUCGUCCUCCUUCGGCCGCCGUGACGACAAGCCCCGCUGGAAGCGCAACGGCUGAUUCCUGCCGGUGACCCCGGCCGGGACCGCGUCCCGCCGGCGAGUCCACCGGUCCGAAGAGCCCGUUCUCUCCUGCCACGGAGAGGACGGGCUCUUCCGUUUCCUCCCGGGCGAGGGCCCGAAGCACGGCCCUCUCCCCGCCGAGGACGCUCCCGCUCCCCCCGUCGCAGGCGUCUCGUUUCGAAUGCCCCACGAUCCCGUCACAGAAUCUCUACUGUUAACAUCCGUCAUCACGCGUGGGCAGGGCCGGAGUUGACCGGUCCAGGGGAACCGGGACCACGCGGACCGCCGUCCUCGCCGGGCCGCCGGGGGCCCCGCAGAGCCGACUCCGGUCGUGGGCCCCACCGACCGGCGUUGGACGGGCCGCACCGCAUCCCUGGGGGGAUCUCCUUGGCCCAGCACGCCCGCCUGCGCCCGACGGUGGCCGCCGUCUGCGCGCUCGCCGUCUCCGCCGGACUGGUGUCGGUCGCGGCCCUGCCCGGCACGGCCGCCGCCGCUCCCGCCGCCGCGCCGGCCGAGGCCGUCAUCGACGCCCCGUCCCGUUUCCAGCCACGCGUGGACGAGGUGUUCGUCGCGGGUGAGCAGGGCUUCCUCCACCGGGAGGAGGGCCGCUCGGUGGAGUACACCGAGUACGCCACCGGGACCACCCGGAAGGCCGAGAACGCGACCUGGUGGAACGGCACGCUCGGCGCCUGGUGGUCGCCCUCCGCCCGCACCCUGGAGUUGCGGCCGAUGGAGGGCGAGGCCCCCUCGGCCACGAUCGCCCUGCCGGAGAAGCAGACCUGGCAGCGCGGCCACAACGCCUCGACCGUGCUGACCACGAGCCGGGAGACCGGCGGCCUGACCGUCAUGCACCUGCUGCGCGGCGUCGCCGACGGCAGCGUCACGGACCAGGAGAUCCCGCUCGGCGCGGGUGAGAGCUUCGUCAACGUCAUCGACCAGACCCACGAGGCCGCGGUCAUCGGCGUACGCGGGGCCGACGCCGUGAAGCGGGCGUUCCUCCUCGACUACGCGACCGGCACCACCACCCCGCUCUUCGCCGGCCUCCCCUCGCCCGGUCGGGUCACGCUGACCGACCGCUACGUGGCCGGCUGGGAACCGAGCUCCCCGGAGGUCCUCACCCUCGACCGCCGCGACCUGGACGCACCCGUCGUACGCACCGUGGUCCCGGGCCCGGUGAAGACCACGACCAGGCACCAGAUGGCGCUGGAGCUCUCCGGCGACCAGCUGCUCGUCGUGCACCAGGAGGCGCAGCCCGACCACCACAUCGGCCAGCCGCUCUCCGCCGUCCGGAUCGGCGGCGGUGACCCGGUGACCGUGUUGCCGCACGCCCAGGCCCGGCUGACCCCG
rnacentral:rRNA from 1 species